rnacentral:rRNA from 1 species
ACUAAGCGUACAAGGUGGAUGCCUUGGCAAUCAGAGGCGAAGAAGGACGUGCUAAUCUGCGAAAAGCUUGGAUGAGUCGAUAAGAGGCGUUUAAUCCAAGAUAUCCGAAUGGGGAAACCCAGUAGAUGAAGAAUCUACUAUCAACAAGUGAAUUCAUAGCUUGUUGAGGCAAACCGGGAGAACUGAAACAUCUAAGUACCCCGAGGAAAAGAAAUCAACCGAGAUUUCGUCAGUAGCGGCGAGCGAAAGCGAAAGAGCCAGUAAGUGAUAGCAAUAUAGUUAGGAGAAUGUGUUGGGAAGCACAAUCAAAGAGGGUGAUAAUCCCGUAUCUAAAAACCAUAUUGUGGUACUAAGCUAACGAGAAGUAGGGCGGGACACGUGAUAUCCUGUUUGAAGAAGGGGGGACCAUCCUCCAAGGCUAAAUACUCCUGAUUGACCGAUAGUGAACCAGUACUGUGAAGGAAAGGCGAAAAGAACCCCGGUGAGGGGAGUGAAAUAGAACCUGAAACCUUGUACGUACAAGCAGUGGGAGCCCCAUCACUUAAUCCGAUUGGAAGGUGAUGAAAAGCAACCGCACUUAAACAAUGGUAAGAGGAGCGAAGCGAGUCAAACCACCCAAAAGAAGCAGUGGGAUUAAGUGAUGGGGUGACUGCGUACCUUUUGUAUAAUGGGUCAGCGACUUAUAUUUUGUAGCGAGGUUAACCGAAUAGGGGAGCCGAAGGGAAACCGAGUCUUAACUGGGCGUUGAGUUGCAGGGUAUAGACCCGAAACCCGGUGAUCUAGCCAUGGGCAGGUUGAAGGUUGGGUAACACUAACUGGAGGACCGAACCGACUAAUGUUGAAAAAUUAGCGGAUGACUUGUGGCUGGGGGUGAAAGGCCAAUCAAACCGGGAGAUAGCUGGUUCUCCCCGAAAUCUAUUUAGGUAGAGCCUUGAGGUGACACCUUUGGGGGUAGAGCACUGUUUCGGCUAGGGGUCCAUCCCGGAUUACCAACCCGAUGCAAACUACGAAUACCAAAGAGUGAUACUCAGGAGACACACGGCGGGUGCUAACGUCCGUCGUGGAGAGGGAAACAACCCAGACCGCCAGCUAAGGUCCCCAAGUCUAUAUUAAGUGGGAAACGAAGUGGGAAGGCUUAGACAGCUAGGAUGUUGGCUUAGAAGCAGCCAUCAUUUAAAGAAAGCGUAAUAGCUCACUAGUCGAGUCGGUCUGCGCGGAAGAUGUAACGGGGCUGAAAUAUAGCACCGAAGCUGCGGCAUCAGGCGUAUCACUAAUACGCCUGUUGGGUAGGGGAGCGUUGUGUAAGCGGAAGAAGGUUCAUCGAGAGGUGGGCUGGACGUAUCACAAGUGCGAAUGCUGACAUAAGUAACGAUAAAACGGGUGAAAAACCCGUUCGCCGGAAGACCAAGGGUUCCUGUCCAACGUUAAUCGGGGCAGGGUAAGUCGGCCCCUAAGGCGAGGCUGAAAAGCGUAGUCGAUGGGAAACAGGUUAAUAUUCCUGUACUUGGUAAAGCUGCGAUGUGGGGACGGAGUAGGUUAGGUUAUCGCACUGUUGGAUAUGUGCGUUUAAGUUGGUAGGUGGGAAGUUUAGGCAAAUCCGGACUUCCUUAACACAGAGAGAUGAUGACGAGGCUCUACGGAGCUGAAGUAACUGAUACCACACUUCCAGGAAAAGCCACUAAGCGAAAGGCUUUACUAAACCGUACUGAAAACCGACACAGGUGGUCAGGUAGAGAAUACUCAGGCGCUUGAGAGAACUCGGGUGAAGGAACUAGGCAAAAUAGCACCGUAACUUCGGGAGAAGGUGCGCCGGCGUAGAUUGUAAGGGCUAGCCCCUGAAGGUUGAACCGGUCGAAGUGACCAGCUGGCUGCAACUGUUUAUUAAAAACACAGCACUCUGCAAACACGAAAGUGGAGGUAUAGGGUGUGAUGCCUGCCCGGUGCUGGAAGGUUAAUUGAUGGUGUCAUCGCAAGAGAAGCACCUGAUCGAAGCCCCAGUAAACGGCGGCCGUAACUAUAACGGUCCUAAGGUAGCGAAAUUCCUUGUCGGGUAAGUUCCGACCUGCACGAAUGGCAUAAUGAUGGCCAGGCUGUCUCCACCCGAGACUCAGUGAAAUUGAAAUCGCCGUGAAGAUGCGGUGUACCCGCGGCUAGACGGAAAGACCCCGUGAACCUUUACUAUAGCUUGACACUGAACAUUGAAUUUUGAUGUGUAGGAUAGGUGGGAGACUUUGAAGUAGGAACGCCAGUUUCUAUGGAGUCAUCCUUGAAAUACCACCCUUUAACGUUUGAUGUUCUAACGAAGAUUGCGGAACGUGGUCUCGGACAGUGUCUGGUGGGUAGUUUGACUGGGGCGGUCUCCUCCCAAAGCGUAACGGAGGAGCACGAAGGUUUGCUAAUCACGGUCGGACAUCGUGAGGUUAGUGCAAUGGUAUAAGCAAGCUUAACUGCGAGACAGACAAGUCGAGCAGGUACGAAAGUAGGUCAUAGUGAUCCGGUGGUUCUGAAUGGAAGGGCCAUCGCUCAACGGAUAAAAGGUACUCCGGGGAUAACAGGCUGAUACCGCCCAAGAGUUCAUAUCGACGGCGGUGUUUGGCACCUCGAUGUCGGCUCAUCACAUCCUGGGGCUGAAGUAGGUCCCAAGGGUAUGGCUGUUCGCCAUUUAAAGUGGUACGCGAGCUGGGUUUAGAACGUCGUGAGACAGUUCGGUCCCUAUCUGCCGUGGGCGUAGGAUGAUUGAUUGGGGCUGCUCCUAGUACGAGAGGACCGGAGUGGACGCAUCACUGGUGUUCCAGUUGUCUCGCCAGAGGCAUUGCUGGGUAGCUAAAUGCGGAAGAGAUAAGUGCUGAAAGCAUCUAAGCACGAAACUUGCCAAGAGAUGAGUCAUCCCUGACUUUAAGUCAGUAAGGGUUGUUGUAGACUACGACGUAGAUAGGUCAGGUGUGUAAGUGUAGUGAUACAUUGAGCUAACAGAUACUAAUUGCCCGAGAGGCUUAACU